rnacentral:rRNA from 1 species
CAAUAGCGUAUAUUAAAGUUGUUGCGGUUAAAAAGCUCGUAGUUGGAUUUCUGCCGAGGACGACCGGUCCGCCCUCUGGGUGUGUAUCUGGUUUGGCCUGGGCAUCUUCUUGGAGAACGUAGCUGCACUUGACUGUGUGGUGCGGUGUCCAGGACUUUUACUUUGAGGAAAUUAGAGUGUUUCAAGCAGGCACACGCCUUGAAUACAUUAGCAUGGAAUAAUAAGAUAGGACCUCGGUUCUAUUUUGUUGGUUUCUAGAGCUGAGGUAAUGAUUAAUAGGGAUAGUUGGGGGCAUUCGUAUUUAACUGUCAGAGGUGAAAUUCUUGGAUUUGUUUAAGACGGACUACUGCGAAAGCAUUUGCCAAGGAUGUUUUCAUUGA